rnacentral:tRNA from 1 species
GGUGCUGUGGCGCAGUAGGUUAAUGCACUGGCCUGAAGCGCCAGCAUUCCGUAUGCGUGCUGGUUCAAGACCUGGCUGCUCCU